rnacentral:rRNA from 1 species
UCGGCCAUUCGAUUAGAGUUUGAUCAUGGUGAAUCUCGCUGGCGGCAGGCCUAACACAUGCAAGUCGAGCGGCAGGCGCAGCAAUGCGCUGAGAGCGGCGGACUGGUGAGUAACGCGUGGGUAAUCUACCUUUGGCAUGGGGAUAGCCACUAGAAAUAGUGGGCAAUACCGAAUACGUUCCCUGGGGGGAGAUUUCAGGGAAGAAAGGGUGCUACGGCACCGGCCGGAGAUGAGCUCGCGUCCCAUUAGCUAGUUGGUGAGGUAACGGCCCACCAAGGCGAUGAUGGGUAGCUGAUCUGAGAGGAUGAUCAGCCACACUGGGACUGGAACACGGCCCAGACUCCUACGGGAGGCAGCAGUGAGGAAUCUUGCGCAAUGGGGGAAACCCUGACGCAGCCACGCCGCGUGGGUGAAGAAGGCCUUCGGGUUGUAAAGCCCUGUCAGGUGGGAAGAACCGCAGUCUGGCCAAUACCUGGACUGCUUGACGGUACCACCAAAGGAAGCACCGGCUAACUCCGUGCCAGCAGCCGCGGUAAUACGAAGGGUGCAAGCGUUAAUAGGAAUUACUGGGCGUAAAGCGCGCGUAGGUGGUUUGAUAAGUUGGAUGUGAAAGCCCCGGGCUCAACCUGGGAAUUGCAUCCAAUACUGCCGGCCUUGAGUUCCGGAGAGGGUGGUGGAAUUCCCGGUGUAGAGGUGAAAUUCGUAGAUAUCGGGAGGAACACCAGUGGCGAAAGGCGACCACCUGGACGAGAACUGACGCUGAGACGCGAAAGCGUGGGGAGCAAACAGGAUUAGAUACCCUGUAGUCCACGCCGUAAACGGUGUUCACUAAGUGUAGCGGGUAUUGACCCCCCGCUGUUGCGCAGCUACGCAUUAGUGACGCUGGGGAGUACGUCCGCAGUAACUCAAGGAUGACGGGCGCAAGCGUGGAACAUGUGUUUAAUUUCGACGGUCAACGCGGUCGAG